AAUGUUCAGUUUGGUGAGCCAAUGAGUUUUAUUGGAGUUACUUACAGGAUACGGGUGAGGGGGUACUUAUAGGAGUAGAAAUGACUCAAAGACAGCUGCAUCACAAAUUUCAACCCAGCAUGGGUGACAGCUCACAAACUGGAGCACACUCCAUACCCUGCAGGAGCUCAACAGGUUGGAGAUGGUUCUUUCUUGGUGCCUCAGUUGGUCCAAACCUCUUGUAGGCACCUCAGCAGGUUUCUGCUUCUUCCGGGAGCUGCCCUGGUCUGAGAGUCUUCUCUGGAGCUUUGCUGCUCAGCUUUUCUUUCUUUUAGAGGGACUCUCCGCUUCUGUUGCUUACUCUGGCAGGGAGCGGCUGAGUGAAUGUGGUCAGGUUCAGGGGCUUCCUGAAGUUUCUGUGAUUAGUUUACUAUCCUUCAGGAACUUCCCCGCAGGAUGCAAUGUUUCAAUCUCAUAGGAAACUGUUACUAUCCCCAUAGAAAUUAUAUUUAUACCAAUGUUUUUUUGCACUGGAGAGAUGGCUCAACUGUUAAAGGCUAGGCUCACAGAAAGUACAAACAGUACUAAGUGAUAACAGAAUGUGGAUGGCCAGCUGAGAUGCUCACAUUCUGAGGGUGAAUUGUAAAUUGGAAAGUAAAUUGUAAGUUGGCUACUUCUGUUAGAGAUGAACUGCUAUGAGAUGAAUUACUUUGAACCAGCAAAUUCUGUGUCUAAGAGUAUGCCUAAGAGUAAUUUGUACAUACGUUCACCAAAAGAUGUGUAUGAAAAUGUUUAUAGCAGUAUUGUUUAUAAGAGCUUCAAAAAAUUAUCCAAAUGUCCAUCAGAAAUAAAAGAAAUAAAAUGCAAUGGAUUCUUACAGUACAAUACUUCACAGCAAUAAGAAUUAAUAUGGACUGUAUCAUAUAAUACACAUGAAUUUUUUCUGUGUUGGUAAAUGUUUUCAGUAUGGAGUGAAAGAAAACCAAACCAAAAACAAAUUGUAUGAUACUGUUCACAUAGAUUAGGGCUAAGGAUACAGCUUAGUGGUACAGGUACGAGUCUGUGGGUUGACCCUCUAACGCUAAACAAACUGAAGAACUGUUUAUAUAGUGUAGUCAAAGAUAUCCUGAGGUGUUAGAAGUCACAAUUGUGGUUUCUUUUAGAGGCUUUUCAAGUAGAAGAAAUCAUGAUUAGGUUUUUUUGGUUCAGUAGUUUAAAUUUGAAAAGUAAAAGUGAAAAUUUAUUGAGCUUAGGACAUUAUAUACUUCAACUUAAACAUGUUCUUAAAGGAACUGGAGCAACGGCUCAAUGGUUAAGAGCACUCACUGCUCUUGCAGAGGACCCAGGUUUGGUUCCAGCAUCAUUGAACAUGGCAGCUCCUAAUUGUCUGUGGUGCCAGUUCCAGAGAAUCCAAUCCUCUAGAGGCACCUAAACACACAUGACACACACAUGUACACUCAGAUUAAAAUAGAAUCCAAUCCUCUAGAGGCACCUAAACACACAUGACACACACAUGUACACUCAGAUUAAAAUUCCCUUUUGAGAUAGAGUUUCUCUGUGUAGCCUUAGCUGCCCUGGGUUUUGUUCUGUAGACCAUGCUGGCUCAGAGGUCCACCUGCUUCUUCCUCCCACGGGUUGGGAUUGCACCCAUGCUCCACCACCACCUAGGUGAAUGGAGCUUCCUCUGGGUGUUGUGGGACCAGCUUCGGAGUUCUUGCCCAAGGUCUGCUCAGGGCAUGGGCCCAGACCGGAAGGAACCUGUGUCACUGGUUGGGCGGAGUUCCUGGGUGCCUCAGCUCUUAUUUUUUUAUGUCAGAAUAAAAAGUGUCAAUGGCUAAAAAGAACGUUGACAAAGUGGGAAGAGGUGUUUUUCAUGCUUUCUGUUCCCAGAGAGGUUACAUUUUUAAGCUAGCUUUCUAAGAUGAAACUGAAGCUGUACCCGCCUGCUUGUUUUUCUUAGCCCUCAUUUUUGUUGUUAGAUCUUCUUGUUCAUAGGAUAUGCUGCGUUAAUAUUUCCUGUCUGCCAUGCCUGUAUUAGCUGAGAUUCCUAUUAAUCUGUGUUAGCUUUCUCUGGUGGGUCAUUUCUAUUACUGGCAUCCCCCAAAUAGAGAUAUGCAUAUCGAUUUGUGUUCGGUGGUAGAGCAAAGUUUCUGAGGACUGGUAAACCCCUGCAGCAGUGUUAGUCUCGGGGAUGCUGGAGAUCUGGACAGAACUAUGUGGAGCUACUGCUCAGCUGUGGUCUUUAAACCAAGGCUUUUCUUUAAUGACCCAGAGCCACAUUUGCAGUGAGGCUGAGGAAGGAGCUGCUUUUCUGUUUAUUAGAGGUGACAUGGGCAGCGGGGCAGUGGCAAAGAGGCCAUGUUGCUCUUGUUAAAUAUACAUCCCUGACAGUUGGAUAAUAGGUUCCAGGAAGUUCAGUGGAAAAUUAAAACAAAGCAACAUUUAUAGCUGAUUGAACUUGAAAAGCCAUUUUGGUGUUGAAUGGCAAAUAUGUGGACUUCAGCAUUCCUAGAGCCUGAUGCAUCCUGCUGGAUGGCCCUGUCUCGUGUACACGAGGGCUGGGCACUCAGCAGUGUGCAGGGUGCUUAGGGGGAAAAGAAAGCUUUCUGCCAGAAGUCUUCUUUGCAUAGAGUUAUGGAACACAAAUUUCCCCCUAUCAGGGAACAUGGUUCCUCUGAUGGUUAGAGGCCUAUCUUGUUAGAAGGACUGGAAUGUCUGGCAAGAGUCAGGGGAUCUCUUAUGUACUAUAAAUACUCCUAGUCUCCUACUGAGGCUGGAUCUUCAAGCAGAUUAUUGUAGUGUAUUCACAUGACUUUAGCGUGGAAACACUUUGAUAUUGUCCCAGUUUUGUCCUAAGAUGUUAAGAUUAGAAGGCUUUGGAUUCAUGUGUGAGAUGAUUGGUUUACUU
rnacentral:lncRNA from 1 species